rnacentral:rRNA from 1 species
AUACGGAGGAUCCGAGCGUUAUCCGGAUUUAUUGGGUUUAAAGGGAGCGUAGGCGGACGCUUAAGUCAGUUGUGAAAGUUUGCGGCUCAACCGUAAAAUUGCAGUUGAUACUGGGUGUCUUGAGUACAGUAGAGGCAGGCGGAAUUCGUGGUGUAGCGGUGAAAUGCUUAGAUAUCACGAAGAACUCCGAUUGCGAAGGCAGCCUGCUGGACUGUAACGGACGCUGAUGCUCGAAAGUGUGGGUAUCAAACAGGAUUAGAUACCCUGGUAGUCCACACAGUAAACGAUGAAUACUCGCUGUUUGCGAUAUACAGUAAGCGGCCAAGCGAAAGCGUUAAGUAUUCCACCUGGGGAGUACGCCGGCAACGGUGAAACUCAAAGGAAUUGACGGGG